UAGAUGAAUGCUCGCUGGUUUGAGUGUUUAGCUGUUAACUAAAAGUUUGUGGGAUCGAGGCCCUCUCAUCUAG
rnacentral:tRNA from 1 species